AUGUUGCCGCCGCUUCUCUUGUUCUUCCCUCUAGCCCUCGUACUGCUACACUACUUGGUAAUCACUGGUAGAUCAGGACGAAGCAGCCAUGGCUGCCGUCUCCCACCUUCGCCACCAAGGUUGCCAGUCAUCGGGCACCUUCACCUCGUCGGCUUCCUCCCACACGUCAACCUCCGCAGGCUCGCCAUGAAGUACGGCCCGGACUACAUGCUCAUCCAACUUGGCUCCGUGCCGACCCUCGUCGUCUCAUCGCCACGUGCCGCCCAGACCGUCCUGCGCACACACGACCACGUGUUCGCUUCACGGCCCACGUCCACCGUCGCCGACACCCUAAUGACCGCCUCCCUUGACGUCGCAUUAGCCGUCUACGGCGAUCACUGGCGCCAAGCCAAGAGGCUGCUCUCCACACAUUUACUCACCGUCAAGAAGGUGAGCUCCUACCGCCCGGGCCGUGAGGAGGAAGCGCGCCUUGUCGUGGCCAACAUCGCUAAGGCGGCUGCGUCGCACGAGACCAUGGACAUGAGUGACAUGAUCUACUCUUUCACCAGCGACAUCGUGUGCCGCGCCGUGUCCGGCAACCUCUUCAAGGUCGACGGCCGGAACAGGCUCCUCCGUGAGCUCAUCGAGGCGUCCGGGGCGCUCAUCGGGGGUGUCAACAUCGAAGACUUCUACCCGGGGUUAGUGCGGGUGGGCUUCAUCAAGAGAGCUGUGUGUGCCAGGGCCGACAAGCUGAAAAAGAGAUGGGACGAGUUGCUGGACAAGGUGGUCGACGACCACCAAGAAAACACGGUGCAGCUACGGGAACCUGACUUCAUUGACAGUCUCCUCUCCUGUCAGCACGAACACGGUCUCACCAAGGAUCACAUCAAGGCCAUGCUCAUUGACAUAUUUUUCGGAGCAACUGACUCAACGUCCAUGCUUAUAGAGUCUGUCAUGGCAGAGCUCAUAAGGAACCCUCAAGUCAUGUCCAAGCUACAAGCCGAGUUGAGGAGCAAAAUCCCUGAAGGAAAAGAGAUAAUGACAGAAGAUGACCUCGCCACCAUGACCUACCUGAAGGCUGUCAUCAAAGAGACAUUCCGUCUGCAUCCACCGGCACCGCUCCUGGGGCCGCACCUCUCCAUGGACAAUGUGCAAAUCGAUGGCUACAUCGUUCCAGCCCACAUGCCUGUUCUUGUCAAUGCGUGGGCGAUUGGUAGGGACCCAAGUACUUGGGAGGACCCAGAGAAGUUCAUGCCGGAGAGGUUUCUCAACGUAGACAUUGAUUACAAGGGGAAUAACUUUGAACUCCUUCCAUUUGGUACUGGGAGAAGGAUGUGCCCAGCGAUAAACUUCUCAAUGUCAACGUAUGAGCUCAUGUUAGGGAACCUCCUAUAUCAUUUCGACUGGGAGCUGCCUGGCCCUAGGGCUGCUGGAGGCAUGGGUGUUGAUAUGACAGAGGUGUUUCGGCUUACGUUGCAUCGCAAGGAGAAGCUCCUACUAAUCCCACGAACACGUACAUAG
rnacentral:rRNA from 1 species